AACGAACGCUGGCGGCGUGCCUAAUACAUGCAAGUCGAACGCAGUGGGGACGGGUGAGUAACAAGUGGGUAACCUCCCAUCAGAGGGGAUAAAACGUGGAAACAGGUGCUAAACCGAUACUGAUGGAUGGACCAGCGGUGCAUUAGCUAGUUGGUGAAGUAACGGCUCACCAAGGCCACGAUGCAUAGCCGAUCUGAGAGGGUGAUCGGCCAGACUGGAACUGAGACACGGCCCAGACUCCUACGUGAGGCAUCAGUAGGGAAUCUUCGGCAAUGGACGAAAGUCUGACGUAGCAAUGCCGCGUGUGUGAAGAAGGUUUUCGGAUCGUAAAGCUCUUUUGGUAGAGAGGCUUUAUCUAACCAGAAAGCCACGGCUAACUACGUGCCAGCAGCCGCGGUAAUUC
rnacentral:rRNA from 1 species